UGUCCGAUGCCACGUCGACGAUAGCUUUUUGCUGGCAGUGAUCGUCGAUGCUACAUUGGACAUAAACAGAUGUUUGUGUUUCGCUUUUUCUGAUAGGAACCUGUUGAUCGAUCUUGUGAUCUACGGGGCCAUUUCGGCGAUUACAUUU
rnacentral:snoRNA from 1 species